rnacentral:rRNA from 1 species
AGGAUGAACGCUGGCGGUCUGCUUAACACAUGCAAGUCGAACGGAGUACCUCGGUACUUAGUGGCGGACGGGUGAGUAACGCGUGAGAAUCUGCCCUUAGGUCGGGGACAACCAUUGGAAACGAUGGCUAAAUACCGGAUAAGCCGAGAGGUAAAAGAUUAAUUGCCUAGGGAAGAGCUCGCGUCUGAUUAGCUAGUUGGUGAGGUAAAGGCUCACCAAGGCAUCGAUCAGUAGCUGGUCUGAGAGGACGAUCAGCCACACUGGGAUUGAGAACGGCCCAGACUCCUACGGGGGGCAGCAGUGAGGAAUUUCGUCAAUGGGGGCAACCCUGAACGAGCAACGCCGCGUGCAGGAAGAAGGUUUUCGGAUCGUAAACUGCUUUUCUCGGGAAGAGAAUGGACGGUACCCGAGGAAUCAGCCCCGGCUAACUACGCGCCAGCAGCCGC